UUUGGGCAGCCUAGGUUCAUCAGGGAGUGGCCUAGGGUGGUCUAGGAAGCGUGGGGAAGAAGUCUUGGCCGAAAAUCGGCCAUGUGGGGGUCGAAUUUGGCUAUAAAUAGCCAAGGGUUUCAGCCGAAAAUGAAGCAUCAAAUUGCUCGGUUUUGAGAGCAAAUCGAGGGAAACCAAUAAGAGGCUUUUGAUCCUUGAGGGAAGAGGAUCAUUUCUGGAGAUUUUGGGAAUUUUUGGGGUAGUAUAGAGGGUGUUUUCGCAUAUAUAUACAUUCGGCCGUAUAUAUAUAUAUAUUUUGCGUGAAAUACCAAAUUGGGUUGUAGAGUGAUCGAUCGAGCGAUCUAAUAAGGGGCUUUUGUUCACAAGGUGAUGGGUAACUGAUCUGAAAAUUUUUGUGCCAAUCGGAGUUCGAAUCGAGGGUCAAUUUGAUUCGCCGGAGUUCGGUGGCGGGAUAGCUUCGGUCAACUGUUUUUGGCCAAAUCAGAAGGCUUCGGGUAGUCUUUUCUGAGCAAGAUUGGUACCAUUGGGAUCGAAUAAGGGAGAGGAUCAGCCUGGUGUCGUCGCUUCAAUUUUCCGGUGUGCCGUUGCCGGAGAAGAUGACCGGAGGGUGCCUUGAGGGUUGAGACGAAGUGACUCGUGCGAAGUUCGAAGAAGGCACGCAAAUCGAGACAGGCACGCAAAUCGAGACAGGCACGCAAAUCGAGGCAAACUGCGCUUUUCAAGAAGAAUUCGAAUUGCGCCCAAAGGUGCGAUGUAGCCAUAUGAACCGGCAACAGUAGACAUGGAUUUCGAGUAGGGGAAGUCGAUCAAUUUCGCCAAGCCAAAAUCCCCCACGUGUACCUCAAGCAUAACAUCCAACAAAAUGUUGUUUGAUUUGAUGUCUCGGUGAAUGAUCUGGGGCUUGCAAUCGCAAUGGAGAUAGCACAGGCCUUCUGCUGCGCCAAGAACAAUCCUAUAUCGGGCAUCCCAGUCCAAUAAGCAGGUUUUCCCAUUCCCAUGGAGUUGCUCGCCUAGGCUGCCGUUGGCCAUGUACUCAUACAACAGAGCGUUCGAGUCUUGGUGAUAGCAGAAGCCAUAGAGCUUGACAAUGUUGCGGUGCCUAAUCUUUCCAAGGGUCAAUAUCUAAGCUUGGAAGCUGCGAUCAACACUAGCUCCUCCUCCGCGAGAUUUCAACUUUUUAACAGCAAUCACCUCGCCGCUACCCAUGACAGCCUUGUAGACUGUACCGCAGGCUCCCCUGCCUACAACCGCACUUUCUGAGAAAUUCCCGGUAGCUUCCACGAGGCCCUGAUAUGUGAAACCUUCCUUUGGGAAGUAAUAAUUCUCUAACACAUUGGGUUUCGCUUGAUUUUCAAGUGCAGCAAUAGCAGGCUGCCUGCCUCUUAUAAUCCAACAAACACAUACUGUCAAAACCAAAGAGAUCAAUCCCACAAUCGCAGAGAUAAUGCUCACUAGUUUCUCUUUGGAAGAACCCUCCUUUAACCAGCUUGUUGAAUAUGGCCAGCGCCGCGUAGCACCUAAUCCAGGCAAGCCAUUGUUUCCAGCGAAGUUGCUAGAAUCCAUCCUUCUGAAAACAGGGGUGUUUGGCUCGGCUCCAACGAGGUUAUUGUUGGAUAGGUUGCAGACCAGCAGGCUGAUCAACUCGCCAAUUGAAGCUGGAAUUUCACCACCAAGGUGAUUGUCGUUUAAAUAUAGCGAUUCCAGCAUCUGCAAGUUCCCAAGAUUGGCUGGAAUUGUGCCGGAUAGAGCAUUGUGGAUUAUAUUGAGGGCAAUUUGAAGAGACAAAAGUUGACCAAACUCAACAGGGAUAUACCCAGAGAAAAAGUUCCCUCCCAUCUGCAAUUCUGUAAGCCUGGCUAGACUCCCCAAUGUGCUUGGUAUCGGUCCACUCAGUCUAUUAUCAGAGAGCUUAAGCAAUUCCAGAUUCACUAGGUUGCCAAGCUCAUUUGGGAGAUAGCCAGUGAAUUUAUUCCUGCUAAGAUCAAGCCUCUGGAGCUUUGUACAGUUGCCUAACUCAUGAGGAAUACUCCCGGUGAGCCGGUUAGAAGAUACAUUGAAUGUGACAAGCUGUACUAGUUUUCCAACCUCAGGCGGGAUAAUCCCCACAAAGUAGUUGUCAGAUAAGAGCAGCCUCUUCAAAUUCCUAAGCUCUCCUAAUUCGGGCAGUAUCACUCCCAAGAAUCUGUUUCGAUAGAGUUCGAGAGCAGACAGGUUGUGAAGUUUAGGAAACUCAAUUGGGAGGCUCCCUGUAAGCAGAUUAUCUCCUAACAUUAGCUGUAUAAGGGACUUGCACGUUUGCAGACCAUGAGGAAUAUUUCCAGAUAACUGGUUCGAGCCAAGGCUUAGAAAAUUCAGUUUCCUGAACUUGCAAAGUUGUGGAGGUAUGCUACCUGUGAGAUGAUUGGCAGACAUGUCAAGAAUGGAGAGGUUACUGUUAACGCCAAUAAGAGGGGGAAUAGUUCCCUCAAGAUGGUUGUCGAAGAGUUGUAAAUCCUCCAAGAAUGUGAGGUUCUGUAGCUCCAAGGGAAUUCUACCCGUCAAAUUAUUUAUCGACAAAUCUAACUUCCUCAGCUGCUGUAACUGUCCAAGCUCUCUUGGUAUGCUUCCCUGCAGGAGGUUUUCAAAAAGUUGGAGUAAGCGGAGGUUAGGAAUCCGGCCCAACUCUGGUGGAAUGAAUCCACUUAAAUUGUUCUCAGAAAGAUCGAUCUCAACAGCACUUGAACAAUCUCCUAGCUCCCUAGGAAUUGUUCCAUUCAACUGGUUGGUGUAAAUGUACAACUUCUUCAACCGGGUCAAUUUUCCAAUCUCCUUGGGGAGGCUUCCACUAAAGGAAUUUCCAUGCAGAGCAAGCAGUUCCAAGCUGCUGAAGUUCCCAAUUUCAGGAGGAAUCUCGCCAGAGAGAAGGUUUUGCCAAAGUAUCAAGUCAGUGAGAUUCUUAACCCUCUGAAGCUCUACAGGGAAAAAACCUUCUAACCUAUUCUGUGCCAACCCCAGUACCUGCAAGCCCUCACAUUUGCUGAUCUCUACCGGGAUUGGACCGGAGAAGAAGUUUUGGCCGGCCCUUAUAAUCCUUAGCCAUUUCAAGUUACCAAGUGAAAGUGGGAGCAUUCCAGUGAAGUUGUUACUGUAAAUUACUAACUCUUCAAGCAUAGUUAAAUUCCCAAUCUCCUCUGGGAUUUCACCAUAUAUAUAGUUCUCACACAGAGAGAGCUUUCUUAGGGUUGAAAUUUUGCAGAUUUGGGCUGGUAAUUCCCCAUGGAAUCUGUUAGUGCACAGGUCUAAAACCUCUAAAUUAUGGCAGUAAGCAAGAUCACUAGGAAUGGGGCCAGCAAUGAAAUUGGAUGAAACGUUGAACAGAGUCAAGUAAGGGAUCUUACAAAUGAAGGGAGAUGGAUUGCCAGACAAGUUUAAGCCACUGAGAUUGAUAGAAAAUACCUUGAAUUCAUCAGUGCAAGCUAUACCUGUCCAAUGGCAUGGAGUUAAAUCAAAGGGGUUCCAGCUUUGGAGAUUGUUGUGGGGAUCAAGAAGGGAUCUUUUGAACUCCAAGAGAACAAACCCCUCCUGGUUUAAAGAUUCAACCUUGAUGAUAAACAAGCAGCAAGCCAUCAGCACCAAAUGGAGAUGUUGCUGAACGUGUUGAGUCAUCUGCCUUGCCAAUUUCCAAGGGAUGAAAAGAGGGCAAGAAAACAAAAAACCUAGAUGCUAGGUUUCCAUUGCAAGAUUGUUAUAGACGGCAAAGUUGAUGAGCACUCAAGAGGUGCAAAAGCUAUAUUGUAAACAAGUCAUGGAUCAAAAUUAGGGUAAUGAGUGCGUAUUUUAGCUAACAAAAAUGCAGCCAUGCAUAGAAAGAACCCAAUAAGGAAUUAGUGAGGAUAGAGAAACAGAGACUAUGAGAUGUGAAAUUGACCCAAGAGGACUGAAGAUACCCAACUGAACCUGCAGCCCUGCAGAGCAGUGUGAAACAUAAAUAAGGAGAGAUGGGUAGAAAUAGCGAGGACAGGAUAAGUGAGAGAGAGAGAGAGAGAGAGAGAGAGAGAGAGAGAGAGAUGUGCAAACCUUUAAAAGAGAGACCAUAACUCUGAAGGGCCUACGAUGGUCUCUUCUAUUAUUAGGGUUCAAAUCUCUCAGAGCAACUCGUGGACCUAAUAAGUUUAUGGGCGCACACUUAAAACAACUAGUGGUUGCGGCUUCUCAUAAUCGAGAAAAAAGGCGUGAAAAGAUUGAUUAAAGAAGGCAAGAAGCGAGAGAGAGAGAGAGAGAGAGAGAGAGAGAGAGGGCAGUUCUACCAUCAGAGUCACGAUCCAAAAACAGAGCCAGAGAAGGAAAAAUGGAGUCGACCCUGCACUUUACAGCCGGGAAGUGAGUGCCCAAGUUGGGUUUUGCUUUUGUUCAUCAUGUUCUUCUUCAAUUCAACCUUUUCUUUCUGAUCAACAUUUGUUGCUGUUUCUGCUGCUACUGCUACCUCCACUUGUCUUCUCUUCUCUUCUGAUUCUUAUCAUUAUUUCCCAUUGGUUGGUGGGUGGACCAUAUAUAACAGUAGUAGAGAAUGGAGAUGAAGACGAGUCACGGGAAUAAAUGGAUUGCAAUCUCCGCCAUUGUUGCUUGGCCUAAAUUAAUGUUUCUUUUGACUGUUUGGGAUAGGGAGAAAUCUGGGAAGCAAUGAUUCUGCAUGUUGAAACUUGAAGCAUGAUUGUGAGAAAGUGCAGGCUCUAUCUGCCCCAAUUUCCUCAAAUUCAGUGGCCUCUUGCCCACUUUAAUGAGUUGGGUCAUCUGGCAAUUUGCUCAUGGCUUAAGUUUUCAUAUUCAGGUUUGAAUUUUUUGAUGAUCCAUCACAAUCACACACAGGCCUUGUGUAGUUUGUCUUCUAGUUCUAGUAGUUAGGUUUAGUCAUAUAAAAAAAAAUCAUCAUAUUAGUAUACAAUAUUUUUGCUAUAAUUAUUGAUGAUAUAGAACAAUCACUCUAAUUUUGUGGGAAUUUAAACAGUCUGAUUUUAAGGAGACUUGGGUGCUCAUUAGUUAAAAGAAAACAGUUCCCAGAUUUUGUAUCAGUAUUAAUCUUAAUUAAACUAAAAUCUCAUGUUUUUCUAUUUUAAAAAACCCUAAGACUCCCCCUUGUUUGUGAAGAAAACAGUUACAAAUGUCUCAAAUCUGUUCUCUAAUGAUCCGUAUAAAUUUGAAAAUACUGUUUUCCACUGGACAUCUUCCUGCACUCUUUAAACUUAAUAAACUAAGAUAAUUAUUAUAUCAAAUUUCAUUUGAUAA